rnacentral:rRNA from 1 species
GGCGGCGUGCCUAAUACAUGCAAGUCGAACGCUUCUUUCCUCCCGAGUGCUUGCACUCAUUUGGAAAGAGGAGUGGCGGACGGGUGAGUAACACGUGGGUAACCUACCCAUCAGAGGGGGAUAACACUUGGAAACAGGUGCUAAUACCGCAUAACAGUUUAUGCCGCAUGGCAUAAGAGUGAAAGGCGCUUUCGGGUGUCGCUGAUGGAUGGACCCGCGGUGCAUUAGCUAGUUGGUGAGGUAACGGCUCACCAAGGCCACGAUGCAUAGCCGACCUGAGAGGGUGAUCGGCCACACUGGGACUGAGACACGGCCCAGACUCCUACGGGAGGCAGCAGUAGGGAAUCUUCGGCAAUGGACGAAAGUCUGACCGAGCAACGCCGCGUGAGUGAAGAAGGUUUUCGGAUCGUAAAACUCUGUUGUUAGAGAAGAACAAGGACGUUAGUAACUGAACGUCCCCUGACGGUAUCUAACCAGAAAGCCACGGCUAACUACGUGCCAGCAGCCGCGGUAAUACGUAGGUGGCAAGCGUUGUCCGGAUUUAUUGGGCGUAAAGCGAGCGCAGGCGGUUUCUUAAGUCUGAUGUGAAAGCCCCCGGCUCAACCGGGGAGGGUCAUUGGAAACUGGGAGACUUGAGUGCAGAAGAGGAGAGUGGAAUUCCAUGUGUAGCGGUGAAAUGCGUAGAUAUAUGGAGGAACACCAGUGGCGAAGGCGGCUCUCUGGUCUGUAACUGACGCUGAGGCUCGAAAGCGUGGGGAGCACACAGGGAGGGAUACCCUGGUAGUCCACGCCGUAAACGAUGCCUGUGAGGUGUUGGAGGGUUUCCGCCCUUCAGUGCUGCAGCAUUCGCAU